UCCCCCUUUCUCCCCAGCAGAGGGUCGUCGUUCAUUUCCCCAGCAGCCCUAAGUUCCCCAACCUUUUAGAUUUUUAGAAAAUCCCCCCCGAAAUCCCUAAGUUCCACCCGAAAUCAGCAGCCCAAGUACUUUCCCGAAAUCGGUAGCCUUGGAAUCGCCAUUUUAGAGUUUUGGAUAAGAAAGCUGGGUCUUUGGCCGCUUUGCUGUGCUUAGCUUGCUGGGUUGGAGCUACUUUCAUCGCUGCAAAACUUGCCUAUUCUCUGGCCUGGAAGACUUCAAGAAUUAAGAAAUGGAUCGGUUUUAGAUGAAUUUGUCAAGGGUAAGCAACGGUUAUCGGAAUGGAGUACAAACUUUUCUAGAUUUUGCAUUUCAAUAUGCAAGCCAAGAGAACAUGAUCCUUUGCCCAUGUAAGAAGUGUGUCGACAUUAACUAGCAUUAUUGUGAAGUUGUAUACGAGCAUCUAAUAGUUGAUGGGUUUGUUCGGGGUUAUAAAAAAUAGCUUUUUCAUGGAGAAUGCACGCCUAGUACUUCCUCUUCAACGAUGGAUGUAUAUUAUCCUGAUACUGCUUACCAUCAGUCUGUUAGAGGGAAUGACAUGGAAGGUAUGUUGCGGGAUGCAUUUAAUAUGCACAAUCAUGGUUUGCAGUCGUUCCCAGCCGACUUUGUGGCAUCUGAUGAUUGUAAUCUUGGUGGAAAUGCUUUUACCUAACCGGGAAGAAGUGUACCUCAUGAAGAGUCGAAUGGAGAGGCGACGAAGUUCUACGCGCUACUUAUGAUAUAAAAUGCCUAGAAGAAAAUUGCGAAAUCUAAGCAUUUUUCAAAAUGCUCCAAACUCGGAAGAAACAAAUAGUGAACAACAGACUGCUAUUGGAUCUUAGAAUGUUCCGAUUACACCUGACGAACCUAUAAAGUUCAAACUGAAAGUAGUGGGACGCGCAGAGGUCAAGGACGUACGCUACUUAAAGAUUUAUACGAGUUAGAUUCAGUCGAGCGUGUCAAAGUAUGUAGAAACAGUUUUGGUCAACUUGGUGGAUCAGAAGCUCGACUUUUAGUAGGAUAUUUGGGCAUUAUAGCACGAAAUGCAAAUAUGUUACCUAUCAACUACGAGUCAUGGCAUCAAAUGUCUGAUAGUAACAAAAAUCAAGCUCUCGAUAAUAUUAAGGCAAGGUUUGCUUUAGAGGUCUCGGAUACUUAUGUAAAGAAGGCAUUGGGAAAAAUAUGGAGAGACCAUAAAAGUACUUUAAAGAAAUAUUAUUUUAAGACAAAAACAACCCUCGAAGAGAAAUUGCAAAAUGUCCCGCCGGGAAUGCUGAGGUACCAAUAGGAAGAUAUGGUUAGAUUUUGGAAUUUAAAGAAAGGAAAGGAUCAUGAACGAGUUGGAAAAAGCAGCAGACAAAAACAAAAAUUCACUCACACUGUUGGGUCGAAAAGUUUUGCUUGUGUAGCUGAGGCCGAGGUAUUUUGAAUUUAUUAAUAGUGUCAAAUAUUUAUUACUUUCCAUUAAAUAAUAUUUUUACUAUUAUAUUGUAAGAACUGUUGUCCGGUCAAAAAGUUAGACACCUUCAGCUUUUUGACAUUACACAUAAGAAGAAAGAUGGAUCUCCUAUGACUCCUAAAGCUGCAGAAAUUAUGGAGAAAUUAAAGGAUAAAAAGGCGGAGUACGAAGCGAUUGCUUCGAGUGAUAGUUCUGUUCAUCUUGACGACAUUGAUAACAGGAUUAUUACUGAAGUUUUGGGUACUGAAAGGUAUGUUCAAGUUCGAUUUCAAGGAUCUUUUGCUAACCCAACCCAAUAGUUUGGAUUCAGCUCGCAGCAAUACAUGCUUUCGGGGAGUUAGGCUCAAGUUGAAGUUCAGAGGUUAAGAGACCAGAUGGCUCAGAUGCAAGCGACCACAGUUGAGUAAAUUACUCAACUUAAAGCGGAGGCAGCAUCGAGAGAAGCUGAGGUUCAAAGAAAAUAUGAAGAACUCCAGCUACAACUUAAAGUAGAUGCAGCAGCGAGGGAAGCAGAGGCAGCAGCGAGAGCAGCAGAGGCAACAGCGAGAGCAACAGAGCAGAGGAGAAAGUACGACGAACUCCAACAGUAGUUUCAGAAUAUGAUGAAGAUAUUUUAGCAGUCGCAACAUCCGUUAUCUUAGACUAUCGUAUAAAUAUUUUUAUCAUUUUAACUUUUAACAUUAUUGUAAGAAUAAUAUGAUUUAUAUUUCAUUUAUUGAUAUUUAUAUUAUAUAUCAUUCGUUUAAUUUGAAA